ACAGGCAUUGAGGGCUGCACUAAAUAACUUUGGAGUAAGGACAUGAAAAGUACAACUUCUGGCUGAAUUGCACAGCUACCCUUGACCUGGCUGUCUUGCCCAACAGACUGUUACUGCUUCUGUUGUCAAGAGGCGUCUGUGGCUGCAGAAGAGUCCAGGAUUUGUCUGUGAUAGUGACUACAAGUGACCCAGUUCCACAGCAUACAAAUGGCCAAUGCCAAACUUGACUUUUGUUGUAACUUGGCCUUUGCACGCAAAAUGUUUUCAUCUUUAGUUUUCGGUUGUGUCGUUGUAGAAGCAUCAAUAUUUUGCUUGUUAGUCACAUCAGUUGAUGGCAUUAAAUUCAACUCUCUAGGGCCAUUCCAAUUCUCAUUGCUCAUUCAAAGUAAUAAGCAAGUUUAAAAUGCAGUUUACCAUUACAGUACUUAACUAUUUCACUAUUAAAUUAUAACCCAGUUGCUAUAAUGCCACUGAAACUUAGGAAAAUGUUCCUGUGGACCUGAGCUACAGUCCUGCAAUAGUGCUUUCUUACUAGAAUAAGAAAUUUGCUGUGAAACAAAUAUGAAAUAUUUGGAAGCUGAGUGAAAAAGAAGGCUGUUUGUAUUCUAGUACUGUGGCAGUUUGGUGAGUAUAGGUGAUGCAUGGUUGUCAUCAGCAGAAAAAAUAUACAAUAUUACACACUGCAAAUAAUUCAGUAAAAUAUUAAAGAAACAACAACAACAACAAAAAACCCACCUUACUUUAAAUCAAAAUGCAUAAAAAGUCGAAAGGUGUUUGUCAGAGACUCAGGAAAAAGACAACAAAAAUAUAUUUUUAAAUCCACCUUGGGAAAUUAAUAUUGAGGUAAUUUUCAGGCUAGAGUUGGAAACGUGGCAUUUUGUCAUUUUAGAAUAAACACCAAAAACAGAUGCCACAAUUUCAUAAAAUAAACAUGCAGUGAAAGGGUAACACAGACAUUAACAGCAAAGUGAGACAGUAGCCAAUACAGUAUGAUGAGAAGGAAUACUCAGUAUGGUGUGAUGUGCGAUAGAAGCCAUUAGCCAUAUGGUACAGUGUAAAGAGGGCCUCUGUGACUAAGUAACAGUUGUAUGUUAUGUGGUUUAUAAAAUAAUUAUGCAAUGGCAGGCAACUCUUUUAUAAUUAUUGGCUGUUUCAAAAUAUUUCUGCUAAUCUGGAUGCAUUUACUAGGUUGAUGGAUGCAGGCAGUCUGUUUCCUGUGUCUCUAUGUUUGUAGACUGUGCAGUGCGUCAUUCUACUAAAGGCAGUGACCAUUUUAGAUUUGGCUACUGGAGACUGUAUAUGUUUUUCUGGAAACACAAGGAAUAUCCACAUAGAAAUACUAUGGCUUGUUCAGGCAGCUGCCAGGCAAGGACCAUGUUUCUACCCUUCCUGUAUUAAUGUCCAUCUCUAAAAAUGAAAAUAUAUCACUAGAAAAAAACUACUUCUCUGUCACUGUGGAUGGCAUAAACUGAUAAAAAUUUCAACAGAUUC
rnacentral:lncRNA from 7 species